rnacentral:rRNA from 1 species
AACGUAGGAGACAAACGUUAUCCGGAGUUACUGGGCGUAAAGGGCGUGUAGGUGGUUUCGUAAGUCUGGCGUGAAAUUUUUCGGCUUAACCGGGAAAGGUCGUCGGAUACUGCGGAACUAGAGGACGGUAGAGGCGUGUGGAAUUCCGGGUGUAGUGGUGAAAUGCGUAGAGAUCCGGAGGAAUACCAAAGGCGAAGGCAGUGUCCUGGCUGGCAUCUGACGCUGAGGCGCGAAAGCUAGGGGAGCGAACAGG